rnacentral:rRNA from 1 species
CCUACGGGAGGCUGCAGUGAGGAAUAUUGGUCAAUGGACGAGACUCUGAACCAGCCAAGCCGCGUGAAGGAUGACUGCUCUAUGGGUUGUAAACUUCUUUUAUAUGGGAGUAAAAUGUUCUAAGUUUGGGAUUUUGUAUGUACCAUAUGAAUAAGGAUCGGCUAACUCCGUGCCAGCAGCCGCGGUAAUACGGAGGUUCCGAGCGUUAUCCGGAUUUAUUGGGUUUAAAGGGAGCGUAGGUGGAUUAUUAAGUCAGUGGUGAAAGUUUGCGGAUCAACCGUGAAAUUGCAGUUAAAACUGGCAGACUUGAGUACAGGAGAGGAGAGCGGAAUUCGUGGUGUAGCGGUGAAAUGCUUAGAUAUCAGGAAGAACUCCAAUUGCGAAGGCAGUUCACUGGACUGAAACUGACACUGAGGCUCGAAAGUAUGGGGAUCAAACAGGAUUAGAUACCCUAGUAGUC